AAGAGACGUAAGUUCAGGAAAGUCCUCAGUCACGUUCUUCUCGUCAGAGGUCGUACACACGCGGAGUUGAUCACAACUAACCUAACCAACUCUCUCGUCAGUCACAAACAGUGAGGGUGAUGGCUGGCUACCUGACCUGCCUGACGUGGGUGUUGCUGCUGGCUCUCUGCUACACGCCCACACCUGCUCACUCUGAGAACGUUGGGUUGGUAAGUGAUGGUAGAGGCCAGAGGCUGACCCGAAACGUUCAUUUAAUCAUCGCAGGAGGACAUGACGCCUACAGACCAGGACCGGGAGCGCUAUUAAGGACUCGACCAGGCCGCCGUGGCUGGAGUCCACCAAUAAGAAAGGGUCCUCCUCUCACCCAGUUUGCAUAACCAACAGUUCUAUACGUCUGACAUUCCUGAAGCCCUGCAUACCAUCUUAGGGCCAAUAUAUUAUCACUGAAAUCUUCAGCACUUCUAAAGAAAUAUAUCAAUUCUACAAUUCAUAAAAUGUAUUUAUUUAGUGUAUAAGAAUUUAUAAAUAAAGUUGCGAAACCAUC